rnacentral:rRNA from 1 species
CCUGCNNCCNANGGGUUNGUUCUUUCNGGAACUANAGACCGNCGCCGGGUGCGUACGCGUAUGCAACUUGCCCUACUGAAAAGGAUAGCCCUUCGAAAGGAGGAUUAAUACUUUAUAACAGAUUUAAUGGCAUCAUUAGAUUUUGAAAGAUUUAUCGCAGUAGGAUAGGCAUUCGUAAGAUUAGUUAGCUGGUGAGGUAACGGCUCACCAAGACGAUGAUCUUUAGGGGGUCUGAGAGGGUGAACCCCCACACUGGUACUGAGACACGGACCAGACUCCUACGGGAGGCAGCAGUGAGGAAUAUUGGACAAUGGGUGGAAGCCUGAUCCAGCCAUCCCGCGUGUAGGAUGACGGCCUUAUGGGUUGUAAACUACUUUUAUCUGGGGAUAAACCUACUUACGUGUAAGUAGCUGAAGGUACCAGAAGAAUAAGCACCGGCUAACUCCGUGCCAGCAGCCGCGGUAAUACGGAGGGCGCAAGCGUUAUCCGGAUUUAUUGGGUUUAAAGGGUCCGUAGGCGGAUUAAUCAGUCAGUGGUGAAAUCUCAUAGCUUAACUAUGAAACUGCCAUUGAUACUGUUAGUCUUGANUGAUGUUGAANUUGCUGGAAUGNGUANUGUANCGGUGAAUGCUAAAUNUNACCCAAACCCCAUUGCGAAGNCGGNGACUAACUUUACUGACCUGAUGAC